CAUGACUUACAACCUGACAAUCUUCUUUUCCUUCUCUGCCUAACCUAAAGGAACUCCAACAACAACCUUCUUCUGUUGAUUUCUCAAGCAAGCUACUUGGUCAUCAUUUCUCCAUUCACAAAUGGAUACGCGGCGACCUUCUAUAUCUCUUUGGCUUGAGCCCUAUUUUGGAGCGAUUGCAUUGUUCCUUUGGUAAAUCAUAAUCCCCUUUCCUUCACUUUUUUACUAACUAAAGAACCUCUUGUUCUUUGCAGUGGAUGUUGUGUUCGAGGCCCUGAUUGACAGCCAAAUUCAUUUGGAAGAGGAGACAAUCAUAGCUAAGGGAAACAUAACUUCUUGCUGAGAGGGACUUAUCUCUAGCUACUUCUACAGAUGAAGUUCCUCCCACUCAAGAAGCAACUUUCAGUUCUAUGGUUGUUUCUGAAGAAAUACCUACCCUUUCACCUUCUUCCUCAGCACCUAAUCCUUCACCCAUACAAGAAGAAACUCAAGAAACAACUUCUAAGAAGAAACGUAAGGGGUGCAAAUUGACUUGGGCCCCUUUACCUAAGCGAGAAGCGACCUCCACUUCUAAAGAUGUUCUUCAAGAGGACAUCCGAGCUGCCUCUCCUGAACCUACCUUAGCAAUGUUAUAUCCUUCUCUGUCCUCACAAUCUAUCCCACCUCAAGAAGGCAUUUCGCUUCCUGGUCCUGCAUCAUCCUCUGUUCACCCUCAAGAAGAAGCCUCCCUCCCUAGUACUAGUUUGGAACCUGCAUUUGUUAUGACUUUUCUUGAACAAUUCCCCUUACCUCUACGAGAAUCUUCAAAUUCACCUCUUCUUAUUUUCUCCCCUCCUUCACUCUAGAUCAGCUUAUCUUCCUUAUCCUCAUUGACUCCCUCUUUACCUUUAUUAUUGGGAUGUUCUCUUAGCACUGUUUGGGAGGAAACUCGCCAACAGCUUGAAAACUUAUCCCCUGAAGGCUUGGCAGGUCAUUUCUCCCUUGAGGAAACAAAGUGAUGGAUUGCUAAUAUGAGCAUAGCCCAUCAACUAUUUGACUUAGCCCAAGUGAAUGAACAAUUAUUGCUGACCAUGCUACUAAACAAAUAGUUAACUUGUCCACUCAGCUCCAAGAAGAUCGUGAACUAAUUUGGACUAAAUCUGGGAGCUUGGAUCAGUGGAAAAUUACUGUGGACAACCUUGAAGCUCAACUUAAAUCAGAAGUUAACCUUCGGGACGAACUGAAAGUCUAAUUGACCGAACAAUCUUCAGAGAAGGAACGACUAUCUUCCCAGCUACAGACCCUAAAGCUUAAUCAACAACUUCCACAAAAGAAGCUGAGCUGAAGGCCUCUAACGAUGCCCUGGUGGUUUAUAAGGCAUGGAAGAUGAUCGUUUCAAUGAGAGAAAAAGGUUGCUUCUUUCAUCCUUGAGUUCAAUGUUCCUAUCGCAGAUUCUAUUAUGAAGGCAUUCAAACAUGGAGUAGACAGAGCUAUAGAACAAUUAAAGGAGAAGGGCUAUUUAACUUCCGAUCCUCCUUCCAAUUUCCUUGAUCGUCGGAGACUUCUUAAGAUUAUUGUAACCCUCUGCUAUUUAAUCAGUUAGAUGUACUAUUUUGACAUUCCAGUUUAUGUGAAUU